CCUACGGGUGACAGCAGUGGGGAAUAUUGGACAAUGGGGGCAACCCUGAUCCAGCGACGCCGCGUGAAGGAAGAAGUAUUUCGGUAUGUAAACCUCUAUCAUCAGGGACGAAAGAAAUGACGGUACCUGAAUAAUAAGCCCCGGCUAACUACGUGCCAGCAGCCGCGGUAAUACGUAGGUGGCAAGCGUUAUCCGGAUUUACUGGGUGUAAAGGGGGAGUAGACGGCGGUGCAAGUCUGAAGUGAAAAGCAGGGGCUCAACCCCUGGCCUGCAUUGGAAACUGUGGUGCUGGAGGGCAGGAGAGGCAAGCGGAAUGCCGAGGGUAGCGGUGAAAUGCGUAGAUAUUAGGAGGAACACCAGUGGCGAAGGCGGAUUACUGGACUGUAACUGACGUUGAGGCUCGAAAGCGUGGGGAGCAAACAGGAUUAGAUACCCGAGUAGUC
rnacentral:rRNA from 1 species